rnacentral:rRNA from 1 species
GUCCUGGCAGUAAACGGUGCACGUUUGGUGUGGGAGGAUUCGACCCCUUCCGUGCCGGAGCUAACGCGUUAAACGUGCCGCCUGGGAAGUACGGUCGCAAGAUUAAAACUCAAAGAAAUUUACGGGGGCCCGCACAAGCGGUGGAGUAUGUGGCUUAAUUCGAUGCAACGCGAAGAACCUUACCAGGGUUUGACAUGCAUCUCUAAGUCGGUGAAAGCCGGCGAGUGUAGCAAUACACAAUUUGCACAGGUGCUGCAUGGCUGUCGU